rnacentral:lncRNA from 1 species
AAAAUUAGCCAUCUAAGAAAAAAAAAUUGAUAACUGAUAGUGUUCUUUACCCUUGUAACAAUUUAAAAAUGUCACGGAAAAGAUCCCAAUCCUGCUACCAAGCAGAAGGGGCUCACUGCCCAAUGCUCUAAGCCAAUAAAAUGACACUGGGUUUUUGAGAAAAGCUUUCUAUUUCAAGUGACUUACAAGGAGACAGGAGUGCAGCUCAAAUUGCUCUCUCUGUGCUGGUGUUAAGGCAGUGAUUUUAUCCUUCAGGGGGCGGAUUCUGGGAUUAGUAGGUGAUUGGUGGAAGAGGUCUGGAAAGUUCUUCGGCAUGUGUAGUUACCUCUUUAUGGGUCCCAUGUGCCAAUUUGGAGGUAGUUAGUAUAAAAUAUGUGGUGAAACUUUAGGCUGUAACAUUAGCAAGCUUGCUGUGUAAACUCUAGUUAGCAAUAUUGCUUUUAACUGAUUUUAGACAGUUUUGUUAUAAGGGAGGGGAGUGUUAGUAAGUUGUUUUUUCUUAUCUGUUUAUCCUCCACACCCAAGAAUUUGUUACUCAACUUUUUUUUUUUUUUUAACUCCUUGGGGCAUGGUUUCAUUCCCAAUAGAAAAAACAAAACAAAACACUGUAAGGUGUUCUAACAUAAACUGGAAAAUUAAAAGCAGUUUUAAUAUGCUAAUGUUAAGUAAAACUACAGUGAA